UAUGUGAGCAUAGGGUUGUUUAUGUUUAUUCAUUGUCCUUUUAAUGUUCAUGGGUUCAGUAGUGAUGACUGCUUUUUCAUUUCUGAUAUUAGCAAUUUCUCUCUCUCACUAAUUUUUGAAUAGCCUGGAUAGCAGUUUAUCCAUUUUAUCAAUCUUUUCAAAAACACCAGUUUUUGAGCUCAUUGAUUUUCUCUACUGUUUUCCAUAUCACUGAUUUUUGCUUUGUUUUUUAUUUCUUUUGUUCUGCUUGCUUUGAGCUUAAAUUAUGCUUCCUUCUCUGAUUUAAUAAAAUGGAAGCUUAGAUUAUUAUUUUAGCUCUUUAUUUUUUACUAAUAUAUGCACUUAAUGAUAAAAAUUUUCCUCUAAACACGUCUUUGCUGUAUCGCUCAAUUUCUAAUAUGCUGUAUUUUCAUUUGGUUUAAAAUAUUUCUUAAUUUAUCUUGAGAGUUCCUAGACUCAUGUGUUAUUUAGAAAUGUGUUAUUCAAUCUCCAAAUAUCUGAGUAUUUUCCAGCUGUCUGUUAUUGAUUUCUUAUUUACUUCUAUCAUCUUCUGAGAACAUUUUUCAUAUUAUUUCUAUUCACUUAAAAAUUUUAAGGUGUGUUUUAUGCUCCAGAAUAUGAUUCAUCUUAGUCUGUCUUCUACAUGAGCUUGAGGAGAAUUUGUAUUCUGCUGUUGUUGGAAGGAGUCAUCUAUAAAUGCCAAUUUGAUCAAGUAGAUUGAUAAGUACUCUUAAGGCCAACUAUAUCCUUACUGGCAUUCUGACUCCUUGAUCUAUCAAUUACUGAAGGAAGGGCAUUGAAGCCUGCAACUAUAGUAGUGCAUAGGUCUAUUUUUCCUUGAAAUUCUAUCAGUUUUUUUCUCAUGUAUUUUGAUAUUCUGAUGUUAGGUUCAUACAGGCUAAAAAAUGUUAUGUCUUCUUGGACACUUGAUCUCUUUAUCAUUAUGUCACGCUAUCUUUUUCCUUGAUAAUUUUUCUUGUUCUGAAGUAUACUUUGAAAUUGAUAUAGCCACUCCCACUUUCUUUUGAUUAGUAAUAG
rnacentral:lncRNA from 1 species